rnacentral:rRNA from 1 species
AUACGGAGGAUGCAAGCGUUAUCCGGAUUUAUUGGGUUUAAAGGGUGCGUAGGCGGUUUGCUAAGCGGGAGGUGAAAUGCCGGCGCUCAACGUCGGAAGUGCCUCCCGAACUGGUGGACUUGAAUGACUCUGCCGUGGGAGGAAUGUGUAGUGUAGCGGUGAAAUGCUUAGAGAUUACACAGAACACCGAUUGCGAAGGCAUCUCACGAAUGGUUGACGGACGCUGAGGCACGAAAGCGUGGGGAUCAAACAGGAUUAGAUUCCCUGGUAGUACACGAAGCAAACGAUGAUGGCUAACCGCUGGGCUUAUCAGUUCAGUGGCCAAGCGAAAGCGAUAAGCCAUCCACCUGGGGAGUACGACCGCAAGGUUGAAACUCAAAUGAAUUGACGGGG